CAUAUCUCUCCCACAUCUGGGCAAGCUGAAGAGAAGAAAUCCCCAAAUCUGAAGCAUGAAUAGGGUAGGGUUAAAUUCUUUGCCUCAAAGGUGGACUUCAGAGGAAAAGCCCAGGCUCCUCACUGUCUCGAAGAGAGAGUCUGCCUGCUGUGGGUAGAGGAGUUCUCCGAGCUUGUGUCCCUUCCUGCCCCCACCCCAACUCUCUCCUUUUAACAUUUUGUGUCCUCAGUUGGGUUCUCUUAUUUGGUACAUCUUAGAAAGGAGCCCUUGCUGUUUCACAGGCAGUGGACGUGACAAAAGUGAGUUGGGAACCCGGGGAGAACCCAGAACCUCGGUGGUGCUGGCCCUGGGCCAUGGUGGGACUGAAUGGAGACCUGUUUGUGCCCCUUCCUCACUGUCCCUGAACACCGUCCCCGCCUCACGGGUCCUGGGGAGGAGCACCCACGCUCUGUGGGCCGUGUCCCUGCCGCUCUCUGCUCGUGGGCAGGUGGGCUUCUCUCCACUCCAUGCUGCAUUCAGAGCUUGCACGGACACUCAUAGCCCCCUCUCUUCCCCUCCUCCUAGGGUCCCCCACUCCUCUGAGCCCCUCUGUGCCGAUGAGCAGCGGCACAGCUCUAGCCGGACGGAGGGACGAAGCCCGCCCCAGGGUGGUGACCUCAGAGCACAGGCAGCUGAGCCUUCCGGGUCCGUGUGGCGCUGAGGGAGAAGAGCGUGGAGCAUGGCACGGAGAGCAGCGAUGGCGACACAUGGCAACAGUACGGCAUCCAGGUUUCAGCAGUCACAAGGCGGCGUGGGCACGGCCGCGCUCAGUCUCCGCUGUGUUCAUCAUGGUUGCUACUAGAGAGGAGGAGUCGUUAGGAUGGAGACCAGAUGGCUCGGAAGGCUGUGCGCGACUACGCUCUGCCCCUAGAUUGCAAGGGCCGGGCGGCCCUGGCCUAUGGGAGCGGCCCAGGUUGGAGAGCAACUGCCUUGGAUUCCAGGGAUGGGGCCCUCCGCAGUGA
rnacentral:lncRNA from 1 species